rnacentral:rRNA from 1 species
UACGUAGGGUGCAAGCGUUGUCCGGAAUUAUUGGGCGUAAAGAGCUCGUAGGCGGUUUGUCGCAUCUGCUGUGAAAACGCGAGGCUCAACCUCGCGCCUGCAGUGGGUACGGGCAGACUGGAGUGCGGUAGGGGAGAGUGGAAUUCCUGGUGUAGCGGUGGAAUGCGCAGAUAUCAGGAGGAACACCGAUGGCGAAGGCAGAUCUCUGGGCCGUAACUGACGCUGAGGAGCGAAAGCGUGGGGAGCGAACAGG